GACGAACGCUGGCGGCGUGCUUAACACAUGCAAGUCGAACGGGCUGCCUGGUUUUCGGAUCGGGUGGUGAGUGGCGAACGGGUGAGUAACACGUGAGUAACCUGCCCCUCUCUUUGGGAUAACGUCGGGAAAUCGGCGCUAAUACCGGGUAUUAUGGCUUCCUCGCAUGGGGGUGUUGGGAAAGGUUUUUUCUGGUGGGGGAUGGGCUCGCGGCCUAUCAGCUUGUUGGUGGGGUGAUGGACUACCAAUGCGGUGACGGGUAGCCGGCCUGAGAGGGUGUCCGGCCACACUGGGACUGAGGCACGGCCCAGACUCCUACGGGAGGCAGCAGUGAGGAAUAUUGCACAAUGGGCGGAAGCCUGAUGCAGCGACGCCGCGUGGGGGAUGACGGCCUUCGGGUUGUAAACCUCAUUCAGUGCAGAACAAGGCUCUUUGUGGGUUGAGGGUAUGCGCAGAAGAAGCGCCGGCUAACUACGUG
rnacentral:rRNA from 1 species